GCUUAUGGCCAUAUCACGCUGAAUGCAUCGGUUCUUGUCCGAUCAUCGAGACUAGUGAGUACUUAGAUGUGUGACCGCUUGGGAAACCUAGGUGCUGUAAGCA
rnacentral:rRNA from 1 species